GAAGGUGGACGCCCGCGUUGGGCGCCUCGCUGCCAAGUUUUCCCAACCCUACCUGAGAAGGGCCGCUUCGUUUUCCACAGGCCUCGCCCCCCUGCUCACCGACUCUGUCCUAAAGCCUUUCCAGGUGUUGAUGGGCCGUGUUUUCGUCCCGCUUUAUUUCUGUAAGCGUGACUGCCUGCCGGCUAAGAGGUGCCAAGUAAUGGACAGGCCGUGCUCCAUAAUGAAUCGGACUUCAGCCGGUGCUGCAGCGAGCUCCAUAUCUGGCGUAAAAGGUCAUCGCGGAACGAUCCCCCCGAGCCACCACCGCUGCCAGGAGCAGCAGCUGUGCCCUCCCCUUGCUUGCUGCUCUUCGUGCUGGCCCUUGCCGCAGCCUCUCUUUUGAACGGGUGAAAUUGCUGGUGCUGCCACGUGGUGAGUCAGACUGCAGAACAGCGCCAAGUAAAAACUAAACCCCCCAAACCACCACCUCUCAGAAAACAAACCCAAGCCCAUCCAAGCUUGAGUUAAAAGUUGAAAAGAAAUCAGGGCUGCCCCCUUUGACAACAGGGGGGCGGUUUGUAAAAUUCUGGCCUGUUAUUGGUAUGAAGUUUAGAAUAAGGCAAUAGAAAACAGAGAUAAUUCAGUAGUGCUUGACAGCUUUUACGCUUAGGUUAAUAGCAAUUUUGUAGUCUGAUCAGAACCAGGUCACUUUAGUCUCGAGCUGGCGGCUGGAAUGUUGAAUGGAAAGCUUAUGUUCACAGCAGUUGUACGUUGUGUGUUUGACACACAAAUCAAUGCUUUUCUUUAUCUUUUGAGUUCGUGUAAGAGUCUGUAAAGAAAGAAAAGUUUGCUUCCAUCCCUUUAGAGGUGUCAGCUUCUGUUCCCUCACAGGGAUAAUUCAAUUUACAUUAUUGCAGCUCAUUCAUUUGUACCCACGCUAACUACACGGUCAAAUACCCACAUCUGAGACUUGCCGUUAUGAAAAAGAACCUGAUCAGCUCAAGGGUGGCAACUGUAAUAGAGAAAAAAAUUACUUAAAUUUGCGUUUAACAUAAUUCAAGCAAUCCCUCUUUAUACGGUAAGACUUCCUUCCUCUACAUAAAGGCUAUCGUCUCCUGUCUUCCCUUCCUACUUGUCUGGUCAUUUCCUGCCAUAGAUACCUGUUCCAAAUCAUUUAUUUAGAGUUUGAAGCUCUUCUCAGAGGGAGAGAUGGUGUCACAUUUCAGUCAGGGCCUUUGAAAAUGUUCAUCAUCUGUUGUCCUUCCUACGAAUCCAGAAGAAUAAAGGCAAAGAUUUUAUGUGCUAAUAUGUAAAAGGGCUGCAAACAACAGAAACCUGACCUUUUCGAAGGCACUGAUGUGAGGAGGAUGGGCUGAAGUAUGCCAUUUAAUUGUUUGGGGGCUUAUUUGAGUAUUAUCAUACCACACAUUUAAAUCUUACAAAGGAGACAGCUUCAUCAGGAUUUUAAUAAGAGCUACUACAGAGGAACAGAAUUCAGGGCAGAAAAAAACAUCUGUAGAUUGUCCCCAUGGGGAAGAGAAACACAUCAGUUGAUGUCUGGGAGAUGCGGGGGUUUCUGACUUUCGGAUCCUGCUCAGUUCUGGGCUGGAUCGUCCAGAGAGGGGUAAGACACUGAAGGUAUUUUGCCUCGAGACAGCAACUCCUGUUUUCAUUCCUUCUGUCUCAGGCCAAAGCAAGACUCGUGCUUUCACCUGUGGCAGCAGACCUUUCCUUCUACCCUCUUCCCCUUUAAGCACAGCUAUCACAUGUUGAAUGUAGUCACCAUUAAUAACCGCCUGUCACCAGAGUCUGUAGGGGUUGAAUUCACCUUGGCAGAAGUGGUCGCUAUCAUAUUGCAUCUACACAGAUGUUUUACAUGCACUUCAACUUGAUCACAUUUUUUAGGAGAAGAACAGCAUGUGGCAGCUGAAGUGACAGUGCUCUGUAAAAUCUUGUUAAUGUAUCGUUAUAUGAACUCGUUAUAUGAACGUUAUAUGGGCUCCACAAACUGCACCUUUUUUGAUACCACUUAUGACAAAUAUAAGUUGUCAUUGUAUUGAAAGGGGAGACAUGAGCUUAAUAGGACUCAUCUAUCUUUCCCCUACUCAAGUCAGGUUGAGAGGUGAGCGAAAGGAAUAAGGGAAGCUUGCUCAUGGUCAGUCAUUUCCAAGGCUUUGUAUAGCUUUGAAGUAAUACCUAAUAACUCUUUGCAUGUAAGGCAGAAUUCAUUGCAGGGUUAGUAAAUGGCUGUAGUCACACCCAAAAAUCAAAUUAAUAAGCAUAAAACGGGAAUAGUUGGUAGCAUCACUACAGUACCAAAAGGAUGCCAAGAAACCGGAGCAAAGUUAUAUUUCCACUAAAGUGGAAGGCAGAAUUCCGGUUUAUUUAACUGGUUUGAAAUCCUGUUUCCCUUGGUCACAGUACCACGCUUUUAGAAAGUAUUCUGACAGGACUAAUAAAUCAAAUGCAUUUAGGGAUCACAGUAUAGUAUUUAGGAGCUUGAACUUGUAUUUUAUAAAUAUAAAUAAAAGGGAAAAAUGAGUAAACCAAACAGUAUUUAUGAGAGCAAAACCCACACGCAUUACAUAGAUGGUGUAGUAGGGUAUUAGGUAUGAAUUAUAAUGUAGUUUCUUCUGGAUUAAAACGCGUAGAAUAUGAAAAAGUAAAUGCCUUCUGAAAGUGCAAAUUGAACUUCAGUUUCAAAUGUUACAACCAUAGUGUUGAGGUAUAUAAUUUGAAUUGACUGUAUGGGAAAAUAUGCAAAUGUUAUUAUUCAAAAUUAUGUAGAAGAAAACUUAGGAGUUAAGUAAAAAACUAAAAAAAUCAAUACAAUUUAUUUUUAUAGCCAGUAGGAGCAGAAGAGCCUCUUACUCUCGGGACACCUGGAUUCAAUUCUUAGAGGAUCACAAAGGACAAUUGUGUAAUUUGGUCACUUAGUGUAGAUUCAACUAAGGAGACUUAAGUCUUUCUUAAUGAUGUUUUCAAAAGUGUGAAGAGACAUUAACUGGAGAAGCGUAAAUAUAUCCUGCCAAAAUAGAAUAAGGAAGCCUUAGCGGAAAGUAGAAUUGGUUGCUCUGUGCUUUAGUCAGUGCUUUACUUGCCUCGUUGGGAUAUUGCAAGCAUGUUUUCCCUGAUGUUUGGAAAACUGAUGAUGGCUGGGGAGAGAGACUAUAUGCUAAAAGAAGUUCCCAGCUGGCAUGAGUUGUCAUGAGUGAGAGGCACUCAAGAGUUGCCUAAUCUGCCCCUGUAUGCAUGGAAUCAGCUAUGCAGAACAGGGUUGAAGAGAGUUAUAACCUACAAUUAAAAAGCAAAACCUGAAAUGAGUGACAGUCGUGUAUGAAUACUGAACCUGACCUUACAAACAACGUCUGCCGAAGGGUGCUUUCACCAUUACAGGCCCCUGGAUGAUGGAAUUGUGCUGGAAUGCAAACAUUUCCUACAAUUUCCUCUGGCAGGCUCUGCUUUGAAGUUCUGAUCCUGCAACUGUGGCGGGAGAUGGAA